CCAAGGUGGGAUCCCCGACCUUGAAGGUGGAGAAGGCACCUCUGGUGCAAUGUUUCUAAGCUCCUCCUAUCAUCUCCGUCCUUGAGGUUAUCGCAGA